AACGAACGCUGGCGGCGUGCCUAACACAUGCAAGUCGAGCGCGAAUUGGCAGCAAUGUCAUAGUAGAGCGGCGCACGGGUGAGUAACACGUGGGUAAUCUGUCUUAGAGGCUGGGAUAACCUUUCGAAAGGGAGGCUAAUACCGGAUAAGUUUUCCAUUUCUGAGGAAGUGGGAAGGAAAGGUGGCCACUGCAAGCAAGCUACCGCUUUAAGAGGAGCCCGCGGCCCAUCAGCUGGUUGGUAGGGUAAAAGCUGACCAAGGCGAUGAUCAGUAGCUGGUCUGAGAGGAUGAUCAGCCACACUGGGACUGAGACACGGCCCAGACUCCUACGGGAGGCAGCAGUGGGGAAUAUUGGACAAUGGGGGCAACCCUGAUCCAGCCAUGCCGCGUGAGUGAAGAAGGCCUUCGGGUUGUAAAGCUCUUUCGGCCGGGAAGAAAUCGCACAGGCUAAUACCCUGUGUGGAUGACGGUACCGGCAUAAGAAGCACCGGCUAACUACGUGCCAGCCGCCGCCGUAA
rnacentral:rRNA from 1 species